GAUGAACGCUGGCGGCGUGCUUAACACAUGCAAGUCGAACGAAGCAAUUUAGCGGAAGUUUUCGGAUGGAAGCUAGAUUGACUGAGUGGCGGACGGGUGAGUAACGCGUGGGUAACCUGCCUCACACUGGGGGACAACAGUUAGAAAUGACUGCUAAUACCGCAUAAGCGCACAGGACCGCAUGGUCUAGUGUGAAAAACUCCGGUGGUGUGAGAUGGACCCGCGUUUGAUUAGCUAGUUGGUGGGGUAACGGCCUACCAAGGCGACGAUCAAUAGCCGACCUGAGAGGGUGACCGGCCACAUUGGGACUGAGACACGGCCCAAACUCCUACGGGAGGCAGCAGUGGGGAAUAUUGCACAAUGGGGGAAACCCUGAUGCAGCGACGCCGCGUGAGUGAAGAAGUAUUUCGGUAUGUAAAGCUCUAUCAGCAGGGAAGAAAAUGACGGUACCUGACUAAGAAGCCCCGGCUAACUACGUGCCAGCCGCCGCCGUAA
rnacentral:rRNA from 1 species